AACGAACGCUGGCGGCAUGCCUAACACAUGCAAGUCGAACGAGACCUUCGGGUCUAGUGGCGCACGGGUGCGUAACGCGUGGGAACCUGCCCUCAGGUUCGGAAUAACUCCCCGAAAGGGGUGCUAAUACCGGAUAAUGUCUUCGGACCAAAGAUUUAUCGCCUUUGGAUGGGCCCGCGUUGGAUUAGCUAGUUGGUAGGGUAAAAGCCUACCAAGGCGACGAUCCAUAGCUGGUCUGAGAGGAUGAUCAGCCACACUGGGACUGAGACACGGCCCAGACUCCUACGGGAGGCAGCAGUGGGGAAUAUUGGACGAUGGGCGAAAGCCUGAUCAAGCAAUGCCGCGUGAGUGAUGAAGGCCUUAGGGUUGUAAAGCUCUUUUACCCGGGAUGAUAAUGACAGUACCGGGAGAAUAAGCUCCGGCUAACUCCGUG
rnacentral:rRNA from 1 species